rnacentral:rRNA from 1 species
CCUACGGGAGGCAGCAGUGGGGAAUAUUGGGCAAUGGACGCAAGUCUGACCCAGCAACGCCGCGUGAAGGAAGAAGGUUUUCGGGUUGUAAACUUCUUUUAAGGGGGAAGAGCAGAAGACGGUACCGCUUGAAUAAGCUACGGCUAACUACGGGCCAGCAGCCGCGGUAAUACGUAGGUGGCAAGCGUUGUCCGGAUUUACUGGGUGUAAAGGGCGUGCAGCCGGAGAGACAAGUCCGAUGUGAAAUCCACAGGCUCAACCUGCGAACUGCAGUUGAAACUGGCAAACUGGAGUGGGUGAGAGGAUAGUGGAAUUCGAGGUGUAGGGGUGAAAUGCGUAGAUAUCUGGAGGAACAUCAGUGGCGAAGGCGACUAUCUGGCACAUAACUGACGCUGAGGAGCGAAAGCGUGGGUAGCAAACAGGAUUAGAUACCCUUGUAGUC